UACAGAGGUGGCAAGCGUUGUUCGGAAUUACUGGGCGUAAAGGGCGCGUAGGCGGCCAUCUAAGUCAGACGUGAAAUCCCCCGGCUCAACCUGGGAACUGCGUCUGAUACUGGAAGGCUAGAGUUUGGGAGAGGGAUGUAGAAUUCCAGGUGUAGCGGUGAAAUGCGUAGAUAUCUGGAGGAAUACCGGUGGCGAAGGCGGCAUCCUGGACCAAUACUGACGCUGAGGCGCGAAAGCUAGGGGAGCAAAC
rnacentral:rRNA from 1 species